CAGUCGCCGCGGGAACACGAAGGGGGCUAGCGUUGCUCGGAAUCACUGGGCGUAAAGGGUGCGUAGGCGGGUCUUUAAGUCAGGGGUGAAAUCCUGGAGCUCAACUCCAGAACUGCCUUUGAUACUGAAGAUCUUGAGUUCGGGAGAGGUGAGUGGAACUGCGAGUGUAGAGGUGAAAUUCGUAGAUAUUCGCAAGAACACCAGUGGCGAAGGCGGCUCACUGGCCCGAUACUGACGCUGAGGCACGAAAGCGUGGGGAGCAAACAGGAUUAGAUACCCGAGUAGUCCCUGUCCCUUAUAC
rnacentral:rRNA from 1 species